GACGAACGCUGGCGGCGUGCCUAAUACAUGCAAGUAGAACGCACAGUUUAUACCGUAGCUUGCUACACCAUAAACUGUGAGUUGCGAACGGGUGAGUAACGCGUAGGUAACCUGCCUGGUAGCGGGGGAUAACUAUUGGAAACGAUAGCUAAUACCGCAUCAUAUUGAUUAUUGCAUGAUAAUUGAUUGAAAGAUGCUAUUGCAUCACUACCAGAUGGACCUGCGUUGUAUUAGCUAGUAGGUGAGGUAACGGCUCACCUAGGCGACGAUACAUAGCCGACCUGAGAGGGUGAUCGGCCACACUGGGACUGAGACACGGCCCAGACUCCUACGGGAGGCAGCAGUAGGGAAUCUUCGGCAAUGGACGAAAGUCUGACCGAGCAACGCCGCGUGAGUGAAGAAGGUUUUCGGAUCGUAAAGCUCUGUUGUAAGAGAAGAACGGGUGUGAGAGUGGAAAGUUCACACUGUGACGGUAUCUUACCAGAAAGGGACGGCUAACUACGUG
rnacentral:rRNA from 1 species